GUGUUAGGGCACGACACCGGAGAGGGAGCCUGAGAAACGGCUACCACAUCCAAGGAUGGCAGCAGGCGCGCAAAUUACCCAAUCCCGACACGGGGAGGUAGUGACAAUAAAUAACAAUACGGGGUUCUUUAGGAUUUCGUAAUUGGAAUGAGUACAAUUUAAAUCUCUUAACGAGGAACAAUUGGAGGGCAAGUCUGGUGCCAGCAGCCGCGGUAAUUCCAGCUCCAAUAGCGUAUAUUAAAGUUGUUGCAGUUAAAAAGCUCGUAGUUGAAUUUCGGGGUCAGUAGGUUGGUCAUGCCACUGGUAUGUACUGGCCUCACUGAUUCCUCCUUCCUGAUGAGCCGUAAUGCCAUUAAUUUGGUGUUGCGAGGAAUCUGGACUGUUACUUUGAAAAAAUUAGAGUGUUUAAAGCAGGCUAACGCUUGAAUACAUUAGCAUGGAAUAAUGAAAUAGGACGUUCGAUCUUAUUUUGUUGGUUUCUAAGAUUGACGUAAUGAUUAAUAGGGAUAGUUGAGGGCAUUAGUAUUCAAUUGUCAGAGGUGAAAUUCUUGGAUUUAUUGAAGACUAACUACUGCGAAAGCAUUUGCCAAGGAUGUUUUCAUUAAUCAAGAACGAAAGUUAGGGGAUCGAAGACGAUCAGAUACCGUCGUAGUCUUAACCAUAAACUAUGCCGACUAGGGAUCGGAUGAUGUUAA
rnacentral:rRNA from 1 species